UACGUAGGGCGCAAGCGUUGUUCGGAUUCAUUGGGCGUAAAGGGUGCGUAGGCGGCGCGGUAAGUCGGGUGUGAAAUCUCGGAGCUUAACUCCGAAACUGCAUUCGAUACUGCCGUGCUUGAGGACUGGAGAGGAGACUGGAAUUUACGGUGUAGCGGUGAAAUGCGUAGAUAUCGUAAGGAAGACCAGUGGCGAAGGCGGGUCUCUGGACAGUUACUGACGCUGAGGCACGAGGGCCAGGGGAGCAAACGGG
rnacentral:rRNA from 1 species